UGAAGUUGCAGCAUGGCCAGCACAUGCUCACUGCCCACAAAGAAUGCAGUGACAUAUGAGGAUGUGCAUGUGAACUUUACUCGGGAAGAAUGGGCUUUGCUGGAUCCUUCNCAGAAGNGUCUCUACNAGGAUGUGAUGCUGGAGACCUACAGGAACCUCAGAGCUAUAGACUCUUAUUGGGAAGACCACAGUAAUGAAGAAAAGUCUCAAACUUCUAGAAGAAGUGGAAGGUAAUUUUUAUUUACAUGCUGAUCCAAAUGUGCCUCAGAAGAAAUCUUCAUGGGUUCUUGAAAUUUUAGU